GAAGUGAGUGGCGGACGGGUGAGUAACACGUGGGUAACCUGCCCAGAAGCAGGGGAUAACACCUGGAAACAGAUGCUAAUACCGUAUAACAGAGAAAACCGCCUGGUUUUCUUUUAAAAGAUGGCUCUGCUAUCACUUCUGGAUGGACCCGCGGCGCAUUAGCUAGUUGGUGAGGUAACGGCUCACCAAGGCGAUGAUGCGUAGCCGACCUGAGAGGGUAAUCGGCCACAUUGGGACUGAGACACGGCCCAGACUCCUACGGGAGGCAGCAGUAGGGAAUCUUCCACAAUGGACGCAAGUCUGAUGGAGCAACGCCGCGUGAGUGAAGAAGGGUUUCGGCUCGUAAAGCUCUGUUGUUAAAGAAGAACGUGGGUGAGAGUAACUGUUCACCCAGUGACGGUAUUUAACCAGAAAGCCACGGCUAACUACGUGCCAGCAGCCGCGGUAAUACGUAGGUGGCAAGCGUUAUCCGGAUUUAUUGGGCGUAAAGCGAGCGCAGGCGGUCUUUUAAGUCUAAUGUGAAAGCCUUCGGCUCAACCGAAGAAGUGCAUUGGAAACUGGGAGACUUGAGUGCAGAAGAGGACAGUGGAACUCCAUGUGUAGCGGUGAAAUGCGUAGAUAUAUGGAAGAACACCAGUGGCGAAGGCGGCUGUCUGGUCUGUAACUGACGCUGAGGCUCGAAAGCAUGGGUAGCGAACAGGGAUUAGAUACCCUGGUAGUCCAUGCCGUAAACGAUGAUUACUAAAGUGUUGGA
rnacentral:rRNA from 1 species